ACAUGCCUAUAAGAUAGUGUUAAUGCACCAGAUCCCAUUAGAACUCCGUAGUUAAGCACGCCUAGGAUAGAGUAGUACUGGGAUGGGUGACUGCUCGGGAAGUCCUAGUGUUUUACAUGCC
rfam:Picea glauca, whole genome shotgun sequence.